GGCCUUCGGGUUGUAAACCUCGGAAAUUAUCGAAGAAUGAGUGACAGUAGAUAAUGUAAGCCUCGGCUAACUACGUGCCAGCAGCCGCGGUAAUACGUAGGAGGCAAACGUUGCUCGGAUUUACUGGGCGUAAAGGGUGAGUAGGCGGACUUAUAAGUCUAAGGUGAAAGACCGAAGCUCAACUUCGGGAACGCCUCGGAUACUGUAAGUCUUGGAUAUUGUAGGGGAUGAUGGAAUUCUCGGUGUAGCGGUGGAAUGUGCAGAUAUCGAGAGGAACACCUAUAGCGAAGGCAGUCAUCUGGGCAUUUAUCGACGCUGAAUCACGAAAGCUAGGGGAGCAAACAGGCUUAGAUACCCUGGUAGUCCUAGCCGUAAACGUUGUACACUAGGUGCUCCUAUUUAAAUAGGAGUGCCGUAGCUAACGUCUUAAGUGUACCGCCUGAGGAGUAUGCCCGCAAGGGUGAAACUUAAAGAAAUUGACG
rnacentral:rRNA from 1 species